UACAGAGGGUGCGAGCGUUAAUCGGAAUUACUGGGCGUAAAGCGUGCGCAGACGGUCACGUAAGUCGGGUGUGAAAGCCCCGGGCUCAACCUGGGAAUUGCAUUCGAGACUGCGUGGCUAGGGUGCGGAAGAGGGAAGCGGAAUUUCCGGUGUAGCGGUGAAAUGCGUAGAUAUCGGAAGGAACACCAGUGGCGAAAGCGGCUUCCUGGUCCAGCACCGACGUCAGGCACGAAAGCGUGGGGAGCAAAAAGG
rnacentral:rRNA from 1 species